rnacentral:rRNA from 1 species
GACGAACGCUGGCGGCGUGCUUAACACAUGCAAGUCGAACGGAAAGGCCUGCUUUCCCUUGUGGAUUGCGGGUACUCGAGUGGCGAACGGGUGAGUAACACGUGAGUGAUCUGCCCCCAACUUGGGUAUAAGCCUGGGAAACUGGGUCUAAUUCCCGAUAGGACUGCAGGGUGGUGCCUGUGGUGGAAAACGAUUUUCUAGUGGUUGGGGAUGAGCUCGCGGCCUAUCAGCUUGUUGGUGGGGUAAUGGCCUACCAAGGCGGCGACGGGUAGCCGGCCUGGGAGGGUGGACGGCCACAUUGGGACUGAGAUACGGCCCAGACGCCAACGGGAGGCAGCAGUGGGGAAUAUUGCACAAUGGGCGGAAGCCUGAUGCAGCGACGCAGCGUGGGGGAUGACGGCCUUCGGGUUGUAAACUCCUUUCGACCGCGAGGAAGCCACCUGGUUGGAAGGGUGGUGACGGUAGUGGUAGAAGAAGCACCGGCUAACUACGUG